UACGUAGGUGGCAAGCGUUGUUCGGAAUUACUGGGCGUAAAGGGCGCGUAGGCGGCCUUCUAAGUCAGACGUGAAAUCCCUCGGCUCAACCGGGGAACUGCGUCUGAGACUGGAAGGCUUGAAUCCGGGAGAGGGAUGCAGAAUUCCCAGUGUAGCGGUGAAAUGCGUAGAUAUUGGGAGGAACACCAGUGGCGAAGGCGGUCCCUGGGCCGGAACUGACGCUGAGGCGCGAAAGCGUGGGUAGCAAACGGG
rnacentral:rRNA from 1 species